rnacentral:misc_RNA from 1 species
GAAGAACGUAGCGAAAUGCGAUAAGUAAUGUGAAUUGCAGAAUUCAGUGAAUCAUCGAAUCUUUGAACGCACAUUGCGCCCCCUGGUAUUCCGGGGGGCAUGCCUGUCCGAGCGUCAUUACAACCCUCAAGCUCAGCUUGGUGUUGGGCCCCGCCGCCCCGGCGGGCCCUAAAGUCAGUGGCGGUGCCGUCCGGCUCCGAGCGUAGUAAUUCUUCUCGCUCUGGAGGUCCGGUCGUGUGCUCGCCAGCAACCCCCAAUUUUUUUCAGGUUGACCUCGGAUCAGGUAGGGAUACCCGCUGAACUUAAGCAUAUCAAUAAGCGGAGGA